UUUAAUUAUUAGAAAUCAUCUUAACUUUCCACACGAAAGUUGGGAGGUGUUUGCCCACACGGCAUCACCAGGUCCAUACGACCAUGGCAAUUUGUUAUUGAGUUCAACAAGAACACAAAUAUCACCAGGUCCAUACGAUCAUGCCAAUUUGUGAUUAAGUUCAACAAGAACGAAAAUAUCACCAGGUCCAUACGACCAUGCCAAUUUGUGACUGAGUUCAACAAGAACGCAAAUAUCACCAGGUCCAUAUGAUCAUGCCAAUUUGUGACUGAGUUCAACAAGAUCACAAAUAUCACCAGGUCCAUAUGACCAUGCCAAUUUGUGACUGAGUUCAACAAGAACACAAGUAUCACAAGUGCACAAAGAAUACCUUGCUAAUUUUUUAUUUCGUAAUUCUCAGAUGCUGAAAGUAAUAAAGAAAAUGAUCCUGAUAUCGGAAAUACCGUGAAGGAUACUUCAGAGGCUGAGCAGAUCGAGAGUGACGAAAAAGACCAAGCGGGGCAAGAACCAGCUAAAGACUUCAUCUUGAAGGUCUUAGGAAUGGAUAUUGACGACUGUACGUUUAAAGACGUAAGAUAUCAUUCAGAAUUAAAAAAUAUCUGGUUGAAGUGGAAAACUGAGGGUCUUCCAGAGAAGAACAAGAAAGAGAUACUGAAAGCCUACAAUAGAAAGGAUGAUUUUUAUACAGAAUCUCCCAAAUUGAACCUGGAGAUAGUACCGUUGCUUGCCGACACAGCAAAAAAGCGAGAUCAGCAUUUUGCUGAGACUCAGAAUUGUGUUGGUACGGCUAUAUCUGCUUUGAGUGCCGCUGUCUCCAUGUUGUUAGAACAACCCGAAGAAGGAGUUGACGAGGAUCUCCUUACCGACUACAUAAGUCAUGCCGGUCAGAUCCUCAUAGACGUCUUUUACCAACAGUCGGUAGCCAGGAAGUCGUUCAUUACUCCGCAUUUAAACAAGAACAUCAAGCCGAUAGUCGGCUCGAUGUUAUCAAAUGAAUGGCUAUACGGUGACGACUUCAAGAACAAAGUCAAGGAUGUUAAGAAGAUAGAAAAGGCAUGCGCGGAUAUUAAAGAAAGUUCUGCAGCCAAAAUAUCUUCUAAAUCACGAGGCCAGGGAAACGGAAAAUGCCCACCUGCGAAUUACCGUCAGGUGGGCCAGAGCCAGAGAUAUCGGUCCUUGAAGUUCAAACCGAGAUCACACAUGACGUAUCAGCGUCAGUCCAAGUCAACAUCCCGGAUGACGAGCCAGUCGCCAUCGAGGAAGUGAAGAAGCUAUCGCGUUCAACAUUUCAUCUUGCUUGCUUGAAUUUGGAAUGUGGGAGUUUUCGUUAGUUACCCCCACUCCAAGGUCAUACUGAUGCCCUUUGGUGGAAAAAGACUUAUAAAUAACGAGGGAAGUCCUCUACAACUCAUGAUUAAUUGAUUCAGGUUCAUUCUCAUAAUUGUUAGGUGAACUCAUACCUACAUCAGUUAGGAUCAACACCCUCCGUCUUUACAACGUGGAAGUAAAAAAGGAUAGCAUUCUUUUUCCGAACAGAGUAAGAAAGAGCGUGCAUUAUACGAAAGUGAGAACCAGCCCAUGUUCAUACAACCACGCAAAUGUUAUUAUUUUUAAUAUU
rnacentral:misc_RNA from 1 species